rnacentral:rRNA from 1 species
GAUGAACGCUGGCGGCGUGCCUAAUACAUGCAAGUCGAGCGAACAGACGAGGAGCUUGCUCCUCUGACGUUAGCGGCGGACGGGUGAGUAACACGUGGAUAACCUACCUAUAAGACUGGGAUAACUUCGGGAAACCGGAGCUAAUACCGGAUAAUAUAUUGAACCGCAUGGUUCAAUAGUGAAAGACGGUUUUGCUGUCACUUAUAGAUGGAUCCGCGCCGCAUUAGCUAGUUGGUAAGGUAACGGCUUACCAAGGCAACGAUGCGUAGCCGACCUGAGAGGGUGAUCGGCCACACUGGAACUGAGACACGGUCCAGACUCCUACGGGAGGCAGCAGUAGGGAAUCUUCCGCAAUGGGCGAAGGCCUGACGGAGCAACGCCGCGUGAGUGAUGAAGGUCUUCGGAUCGUAAAACUCUGUUAUUAGGGAAGAAUAAAUGUGUAAGUAACUAUGCACGUCUUGACGGUACCUAAUCAGAAAGCCACGGCUAACUACGUG